CCCCCCCAACUAUCCCUAUUAAUCAUUACGGUGAUUCAGAAACCAACAAAACAGGACCACCGUCCUAUUUUAUUAUUCCAUGCUAAUGUAUUCAGACGUAAGCCUGCUUUAAACACUCUAAUUUUUUCAAGGUAAAGGUCCUGGUUUCCUACCACGCUAAAUUAAUAACAUGAUAGUUCCCCAGAAGGUAGAAAUUAUACACGCCAGUACAGACAAAGGCCCGACCAACGGUAGAACCCCGAAAUUCAACU
rnacentral:rRNA from 1 species